GACGAACGCUGGCGGCGUGCCUAAUACAUGCAAGUCGAGCGGACCGAAGGGAGCUUGCUCCUUUAGGUUAGCGGCGGACGGGUGAGUAACACGUGGGCAACCUGCCCUGCAGACUGGGAUAACUUCGGGAAACCGGAGCUAAUACCGGAUAACACCGAAAACCGCAUGGUUUUCGGUUGAAAGGCGGCUUUUAGCUGUAAUUGCAGGAUGGGCCCGCGGCGCAUUAGCUAGUUGGUGAGGUAACGGCUCACCAAGGCGACGAUGCGUAGCCGACCGGAGAGGGUGACCGGCCACACUGGGACUGAGACACAGCCCAGACUCCUACGGGAGGCAGCAGUAGGGAAUCUUCCGCAAUGGACGAAAGUCUGACGGAGCAACGCCGCGUGAGCGAAGAAGGUCUUCGGAUCGUAAAGCUCUGUUGUCAGGGAAGAACAAGUACCGUUCGAACAGGGCGGUACCUUGACGGUACCUGACGAGGAAGCCACGGCUAACUACGUGCCAGCCGCCGCAGUAA
rnacentral:rRNA from 1 species